rnacentral:rRNA from 1 species
UUUCGCAAUGCCCGAAAGGGUGACGAAGCGACGCCGCGUGAGUGAGGAAGGCCUUCGGGUUGUAAAGCUCUGUCAGGAGUUAAGAAAUAUAAGUGUGUUAAUACCACAUUUAUUUGACGAAGGCUCCAAAGGAAGCCACGGCUAACUCUGUGCCAGCAGCCGCGGUAAUACAGAGGUGGCAAGCGUUGUUCGGAAUUAUUGGGCGUAAAGAGCACGUAGGUGGGUUUGUAAGUCAGACGUGAAAGCCUUCUGUUCAACGGAAGAAUUGCAUCUGAAACUGCGAGUCUUGAGUGUAGGAGGGGAGAAUGGAACUUCUGGUGGAGCGGUGAAAUGCGUAGAUAUCAGAAGGAACGCCGGCGGCGAAAGCGAUUCUCUGGCCUAUUACUGACACUCAGUGUGCGAAAGCUAGGGGAGCAAACGGGAUUAGAUACCCCGGUAGUCCUAGCUGUAAACGAUGGGCACUAAGUAGAGGGGUUUUA